UACGAAGGGGGCUAGCGUUGUUCGGAAUCACUGGGCGUAAAGGGCGCGUAGGCGGCUUUUCAAGUCGGGGGUGAAAGCCUGUGGCUCAACCACAGAAUUGCCUUCGAUACUGGGCGUCUCGAGACCGGAAGAGGUGAGUGGAACUGCGAGUGUAGAGGUGAAAUUCGUAGAUAUUCGCAAGAACACCAGUGGCGAAGGCGGCUCACUGGCCCGGUACUGACGCUGAGGCACGAAAGCGUGGGGAUCAAACAGG
rnacentral:rRNA from 1 species